rnacentral:lncRNA from 1 species
AUAGAUUAUACAAAAAAAAAAAAAAGUUUGAUAGAGUUUAAGUUAAUAUUUACUUGAAUAAAUUUAGUUGAAAGAAUUACAUGAAGCACAUUAACUAAAUCCAUAAAUCAAAACGAUGCAUUUAAAUUUUGAACUGAAAUUUAUUAAUUGACUCAAAUCUAUUUUGUAGAAAGGUUGGACACAGUAAAAACAAAAUUAAAAAAGGUUGGAUGACUGAUUAAAAAUGGUUCAUAGUUAAGAAAAGUUUUAUACGUUUUUACUUUGAUUUUAAUAUCAAACUUCAAUACUAUAUUUAUAGUCUGAUAAGUGAUCAAUUUUAACAUUUAGGCAUUGUAAAAUUUAUUAGAUAGUUUAAUAUAUUUUUUCCUCAAAUAAAAUUACUAAUUAAACAAAAUCGAUCGAUACUCAACUUUGUCUUUGUCUGGAAUAAAAUUAAAAUAUAAAGGGUAAAUUACACUUUGGUCCCAAAAUAUAAGAUCUAGUACUUUAGUCUUCAAAUUUAAUAUAUUACAUUUUCUUGCUCAAACUAUGAGGCACGUGACGCUUUAAUUCUCAAACUUUAAUUACUUACAAUUUUCUAAUUAUGAGUCAUAAGAUAUUUUAAUCUUCAACUUUUUACUGUUGGUAUUAUAUUUUUUUCUCUUAUUAUUUUUUUAUCAUUUUAUAUUUUUAUUCUUAUGCUUUUAUUU